AACGCCGCGUGAAGGAUGAAAUCCCUCGGGAUGUAAACUUCGCAAGAUUGGGAAGAAUUAGUAGGGUUAAUACCCCUAUGAUGACGGUACCUUUGUAAGCUCCGGCUAACUCCGUGCCAGCAGCCGCGGUAAUACGGGGGGAGCAAGCGUUGUUCGGAUUUACUGGGCGUAAAGGGCGCGUAGGCGGUCAGCACAAGUCAGUUGUGAAAUCUCCGGGCUUAACUCGGAACGGUCAACUGAUACUGUGCGACUAGAGUGCAGAAGGGGCAACUGGAAUUCUCGGUGUAGCGGUGAAAUGCGUAGAUAUCGAGAGGAACACCUGCGGCGAAGGCGGGUUGCUGGGCUGACACUGACGCUGAGGCGCGAAAGCCAGGGGAGCGAACGGGAUUAGAUACCCCGGUAGUCCUGGCCUUAAACGAUGGAUGCUUGGUGUCUGGAGUUAUAUAGUCUCCGGGUGCCGCAGCUAACGCGUUAAGCAUCCCGCCUGGGGAGUACGGUCGCAAGACUG
rnacentral:rRNA from 1 species